rnacentral:rRNA from 1 species
GACGAACGCUGGCGGCGUGCUUAACACAUGCAAGUCGAACGGAAAGGCCCUGCUUUUGUGGGUUUCUCGAGUGCCGAACGGGUGAGUAACACGUGAGUAACCUGCCCUUGACUUUGGGAUAACUUCAGGAAACUGGGGAUAAUACCGGAUAGGAUCUCCUGCUGCACGGUGGUGGUUGGAAGGUUUCGGCGGUUGGGGAUGGACUCGCGGCUUAUCAGCUUGUUGGUGGGGUAGUGGCUUACCAAGGCUGUGACGGCUAGGCGGCCUGGGAGGGGGACCGGGGACCAUGGGACUACGAGAGGCACCAGUAGCGAACGUGAGGCAGUGGUGGGAAGUAUGGCGCAGUGAGCCGACGUCUGAGACAAAGACGCUGCGUGCGUGAUGCCGGCUUUCGGGUUAUAAACCGAUGUCGAAUGUGACGAAGCGUGAGUGACGGUAAUGGAUAAAGAAGCACCGGCUAACUACGUG